UAAGAGAGGCAUUAACCUGUUUAUCAGUCAUUAGAAUAACGGCAUACUCCGACCGAAGUCAAGCUGACAGUGAGGGGGUGGCUAUAACAAACCUAAUCAAUCCUCUACAUNGAUCCGUCCUUGCUAUUUCCUGCGCUGUUACUUUAAGAUUUUCCGUGAUGCGAUCAUCAAGGAAAGNUUAAAGAGUUAGUUAANUAUUCAUUAUUUUGGGCGCACACAUUAAUAUACUUCGCAACGGAAUAUGUCGUUAGAUGAUAAUGUAAGUCAAGAGUGCUAUUUUUUCACAACAAUGAGAAGGAGAUGAAGAAUCAAUGAAGCCGANGGCAAGAGGUAGAGAUAGAUAGUANUGGUUUGUUUUUAUUAUCGCUGUUAUUCUUUCUGUCUUAUGAUAAUUGCACAAAGGAAUUAUAGUUCCGUUUGCAACAAAUAUGCGAUGCAUUAAUUUAUGCANAUAUGCUGUAUGCAUGGCACCAUAAAAAUGUNUAAUGCCUGAAAUAGUCCAAUCAUAUUUAUCCAUUAAACAAACACAUCAUACACCAAACGUCUGGUGAACACAAAUACUGAAGACCUUGCUUGCUGGACUGUCCUGGUAAGAAAUAGCACAUACACUUACACAAUUGCUUGCCUACAAGCCGGCUUUGAACCUUCUUGCACUCAUGUACAUUGAAACCUGAACGCCUUUUGCCAAAGCUGUCGAAAAUUGAUCCUUAUUGAGCAGGUUGACUUUGCUUAAUUUAAUAUUUACUUUCACUCAUAUACUUAUCAACUGAGCUUUGACCGAGCAUGCUUUUCGACUAGGCUUUCUCAGAUGGUAACGUUAGAAAGGUCCUAAUACUUCUUUUUUUCGUCGAAUGAAUUUGAGAUAUUUUAUGUCUAUUCAAGAUAUUUGAUGAACUAAAAGUGAAUUUGUGCAAAACGCCCACAAUAGAAUUUUAAUACGCCAACUACUUGAUAUCACUAGUCUUGGUAAAACUGACGUACCACGAUACUAUUGAUAGUCAGUUUUAAUAGAUUGGCAUAUACAGAAAUAUCUUUUUGAUUUAGUAUGAUAAGUAGCAUAUUCACUAAAGAUUAUAAUUACAAAAACUGAAUUUUCGAAAGGGAACAAAAUAACAACAGGAAAAAAAAGAAAAGAAGAAAAAAAAUCCCCUGUAAAACUGGCCUUGAUAGUCGCCUUGAUAUAGAUUAUUUUAUGGUGCGGAGUAUUUCACAUUAUGAGAUGAUAACUAUUAGUGUAUCAAUGACGGUCUGUUUUUAUUUCCACGGGUGAUUAGCCCCAUGAAGCAAAACAUCAUCAACUUGUUUUUCUCACUGCUGAACAUUUGAAAAUAAAUUAUUCAUUCAUAUCAAAAGGGAAGGCAGUCAAAGGAGACUAAUUACACUAUUCAUUNCUCGCGACAUGAUCGCAUCAAUUCUCAGAAGGGGUUUGGAUUCCAUUUUACAGGAGGAGCCGGUUACUUUUGUUCUUCCAAAUAAGUGUUCUAAUACGAUUUCUUUCCUGGGAAUGGAAUUCUGACAAGCAAUUGUAGACCUUCCCUAAGAUACAGAUAACUGAGACAAAAUUAAACACUCCCUAAAGAUAUAUUUCUCCCAGGAACCCGGCGUUAUGCAAAUGCUCAGUGUCGGCAUUUUACCUUCUCUAAUCCUAACAAGCAGUCAAAAGAGGAUAAAAUA
rnacentral:lncRNA from 1 species